UUUCGAUAAGAGCAACCCCAUUGCAAGGUGGGCGCGCAAAACCAUGGGUCCGGGAAUCCCGGAUCGCCAGGCUGCCGAA
rnacentral:ncRNA from 1 species